rnacentral:rRNA from 1 species
UUUUUUAAAUUGCUGUGGUAUUUUGACUAUACAAAGGUAUUGUAAUAAGAUUUUAAUUGAAUGCUAAAAGAAUGGAUUAACAGAUAAAUACUUUCUUUAAUUUAAAAAUUAAAUUUAUUAUUUUUUGUGCAGAAACAAAAAUAAAAAUUAAGGACAAGAAGACCCUAAGAAUUUUAAUUUGAUUUAAAUAAUUUAUAUUUCUUAAUCAAAUUUAAUUGGGGCGAUUGAAAAAUAUUUUUAACUUUUUUUUAAAAAAAAUAUGAACCAUUAAUAAUGGUAAUAUGAAAAAAUACUCUAGGGAUAACAGCGUAAUAAUUUUUGAUAGUUCAUAUAGACAAAAUAGUUUGCGACCUCGAUGUUGGAUUAGGAUUCUAAUUUAAUGAAGAAGUUAAAUUAAGAAGUUUGUUCAA